CACGUGGGUGACCUGCCUUCGAGCGGGGGAUAACGUCCCGAAAGGGACGCUAAUACCGCAUAACAUCCUGCCUUUUAAGAGGUGGAGAUCAAAGCCGGGGAUCGCAAGACCUGGCACUUGAAGAGGGGCCCGCGCCUGAUUAGCUAGUUGGUGGGGUAAUGGCUCACCAAGGCAACGAUCAGUAUCCGGCCUGAGAGGGCGGACGGACACACUGGGACUGAGACACGGCCCAG
rnacentral:rRNA from 1 species